rnacentral:rRNA from 1 species
AGAGCGAACGCUGGCGGCGUGCUUAACACAUGCAAGUCGAACGCGCAGCAUUCUGUAGCAAUACAGGGUGUGGGCGCGUGGCGAACGGGUGCGUAACACGUGGAUAACCUUCCUUCAGGUGGGGAAUAACCCAGUGAAAAUUGGGCUAAUACCGCAUAACAUGACGAUGGCACAUGCUGUUGUCUUCAAAGGCGCAAGUCGCCAGAAGAGGGAUCCGCGGCCGAUUAGUUAGUUGGCGGGGUAAUGGCCCACCAAGACGAUGAUCGGUAUCCGGCCUGAGAGGGCGCACGGACACACUGGAACUGAAACACGGUCCAGACUCCUACGGGAGGCAGCAGUGGGGAAUUUUGCGCAAUGGGGGAAACCCUGACGCAGCAACGCCGCGUGGAGGACGAAGGCCUUCGGGUCGUAAACUCCUUUCGAUCGGGAAGAUAAUGACGGUACCGGAAGAAGAAGCCCCGGCUAACUUCGUGCCAGCAGCCGCGGUAAUACGAGGGGGGCGAGCGUUGUUCGGAAUUAUUGGGCGUAAAGGGUGCGUAGGCGGUUUGGUAAGUCUUUUGUGAAAUCUACAGGCUCAACUUGUAGACUGCAAAGGAAACUGCCGGGCUUGAGUAUGGGAGAGGUGAGUGGAAUUCCUGGUGUAGCGGUGAAAUGCGUAGAUAUCAGGGGGAACACCUGUGGCGAAAGCGGCUCACUGGACCAUAACUGACGCUGAUGCACGAAAGCUAGGGGAGCAAACAGGAUUAGAUACCCUGGUAGUCCUAGCCCUAAACGAUGACUGCUUGGUGUGUCGGGUACCCAAUCCCGACGUGCCGUAGCUAACGCGUUAAGCAGUCCGCCUGGGGAGUACGGUCGCAAGGCUG